UACAGAGGGGGCAAGCGUUAUUCGGAAUUAUUGGGCGUAAAGGGCGCGUAGGCGGCCUGGCAAGUGGAAGGUGAAAUCCCUCGGCUUAACCGAGGAACUGCCCUCCAAACUGCUUGGCUUGACUCCGGGAGAGGUGAGUGGAAUUCCCAGUGUAGCGGUGAAAUGCGUAGAUAUUGGGAGGAACACCAGUGGCGAAGGCGGCUCACUGGACCGGAACUGACGCUGAGGCGCGAAAGCGUGGGGAGCAAACGGG
rnacentral:rRNA from 1 species